GACGAACGCUGGCGGCGUGCCUAAUACAUGCAAGUAGAACGCACAGUUUAUACCGUAGCUUGCUACACCAUAAACUGUGAGUUGCGAACGGGUGAGUAACGCGUAGGUAACCUGCCUGGUAGCGGGGGAUAACUAUUGGAAACGAUAGCUAAUACCGCAUAAUAUUAAUUAUUGCAUGAUAAUUGAUUGAAAGAUGCAAUUGCAUCACUACCAGAUGGACCUGCGUUGUAUUAGCUAGUAGGUGAGGUAACGGCUCACCUAGGCGACGAUACAUAGCCGACCUGCGAUGGUGAUCGGCCACACUGGGACUGAGACACGCCCCAGCCUCCUACGGGAGGCAGCAGUAGGGAUUCUUCGGCAAUGGACGAAAGUCUGACCGAGCAACGCCGCGUGCGUGAAGAAGGUUUUCGGGUCGUAAAGCUCUGUUGUAAGAGAAGAACGGGUGUGAGAGUGGAAAGUUCACACUGUGACGGUAUCUUACCAGAAAGGGACGGCUAACUACGUG
rnacentral:rRNA from 1 species